rnacentral:rRNA from 1 species
GGAACUUCCGGUGGAGCGGUGAAAUGCGUUGAUAUCGGAAGGAACGCCGGUGGCGAAAGCGGCGUGCUGGCCCUCUUCUGACGCUGAGGCGCGAAAGCCAGGGGAGCGAACGGGAUUAGAUACCCCGGUAGUCCUGGCCCUAAACGAUGGGUACUAGGUAGUGGACUUGACAUGGGUUCACUGCCGGAGCAAAAGUGUUAAGUACCCCGCCUGGGGAGUAUGGUCGCAAGGCUGAAACUCGAAGGAAUUGACGGGGGCUCACACAAGCGGUGGAGCAUGUGGCUUAAUUCGAGGCUACGCGAAGAACCUUAUCCUGGACUUGACAUGUGCGAAAGCGGUAGGAAGUAGCUGCCGGAAACGGCCAGCCAACGGUAUCCAGUCCGGAACCUACUACAGGUGCUGCAUGGCUGUCGUCAGCUCGUGUCGUGAGAUGUUGGGUUAAGUCCCGUAACGAGCGAAACCCUUGUCUCCAGUUGCCAGCGGGUAAUGCCGGGGACUCUGGAGAGACUGCCGGUGUCAAACCGGAGGAAGGCGGGGAUGACGUCAAGUCCUCAUGGCCUUUAUGUCCAGGGCUGCACACGUGCUACAAUGGCGUUUACAGAGGGACGCAAACUCGCGAGAGGGAGCCAAUCCCAAAAAACACGCCUCAGUUCAGAUCGAAGGCUGCAACUCGCCUUCGUGAAGCCGGAAUCGCUAGUAAUCGCGGGUCAGCAACACCGCGGUGAAUGUGUUCCUGGGCCUUGUACACACCGCCCGUCAAGCCACGAAAGAGAGGGAUAUCCGAGGUCGCUGAGCCAACCGCAAGGGGGCAGGCGCCGACG